AUUGAACGCUGGCGGCAGGCCUAACACAUGCAAGUCGAGCGGAGCGCGGGACGGGGGAGUAAUGCCUAGGAAUCUGCCUGGUCGUGGGGGAUAACGUUCGGAACCGGGAGCUAAUACUGCAUCCUAUUAGCAUAGGCUAGGUGGGAUUAGCUAGUGGGUGGGGGAAGGGCCUAGCAAGGCGACGGCCCCUAACUGGUCUGAGAGGAUGAUCAGUCACACUGGAACUGAGACACGGUCCAGACUCCUACGGGAGGCAGCAGUGGGGAAUAUUGGACAAUGGGCGAAAGCCUGAUCCAGCCAUGCCGCGUGUGUGAAGAAGGUCUUCGGAUUGUAAAGCACUUUAAGUGGGGAGGCGUUACCCACAGAAGAAGCACCGGCUAACUUCGUGCCAGCAGCCGCGGUAAUUC
rnacentral:rRNA from 1 species